rnacentral:rRNA from 1 species
CCCUUAGAUGUCCGGGGCCGCACGCGCGCUACACUGAAGGAAUCAGCGUGGCUUUCUCCCUGACCCGAAAGGGUUGGGAAACCCGUUGAAUCUCCUUCGUGAUAGGGAUUGGGGCUUGAACUUGUUCCCCAUGAACGAGGAAUUCCCAGUAAGCGCGAGUCAUAAGCUCGCGUUGAUUACGUCCCUGCCCUUUGUACACACCGCCCGUCGCUACUACCGAUUGAACGGUUUAGUGAGGGCCUCGGAUUGGUCUCGGCCCGCUCUUUACCGGGCGGCGCCGUUGGUCGAGAAGACGCUCGAACUUGAUCGUUUAGAGGAAGUAAAAGUCGUAACA